CACCUCAAGUGGUCAGGAUGAUUAUUGGGCCUAAAGCAUCCGUAGCCGGCUCUGUAAGUUUUCGGUUAAAUCUGUACGCUCAACGUACAGGCUGCCGGGAAUACUGCAGAGCUAGGGAGUGGGAGAGGUAGACGGUACUCGGUAGGAAGGGGUAAAAUCCUUUGAUCUAUUGAUGACCACCUGUGGCGAAGGCGGUCUACCAGAACACGUUCGACGGUGAGGGAUGAAAGCUGGGGGAGCAAACCGGAUUAGAUACCCGGGUAGUCCCAGCUGUAAACGAUGCAAACUCGAUGAUGCGUUGGCUUGUUGCUAGCGCAGUGUCGCAGGGAAGCCGUUAAGUUUGCCGCCUGGGAAGUACGUACGCAAGUAUGAAACUUAAAGGAAUUGGCGGGGGAGCACCACAAGGGGUGAAGCCUGCGGUUCAAUUGGAGUCAACGCCUGAAACCUUACCCGGAGAGACAGCAGAAUGAAGGUCAAGCUGAAGACUUUACCAGACAAGCUGAGAGGUGGUGCAUGGCCGUCGCCAGCUCGUGCCGUGAGAUGUCCUGUUAAGUCAGGUAACGAGCGAGAUCCCUGCCAUUAGUUGCUAUCAUUAUUCUCAGGAAUAGUGGGGCGAACUAGUGGGACUGCCGUUGUUAAAACGGAGGAAGGAAGGGGCUACGGCAGGUCAGUAUGCCCCGAAACUCUGGGGCCACACGCGGGCUGC
rnacentral:rRNA from 1 species